CCUACGGGAGGCAGCAGUGAGGAAUAUUGGUCAAUGGGCGCGAGCCUGAACCAGCCAAGUAGCGUGAAGGAUGACUGCCCUACGGGUUGUAAACUUCUUUUAUAAAGGAAUAAAGUGAGGCACGUGUGCCUUUUUGUAUGUACUUUAUGAAUAAGGAUCGGCUAACUCCGUGCCAGCAGCCGCGGUAAUACGGAGGAUCCGAGCGUUAUCCGGAUUUAGUGGGUUUAAAGGGAGCGUAGAUGGGUUGUUAAGUCAGUUGUGAAAGUUUGCGGCUCAACCGUGAAAUUGAAAUUGAUACUGGCAGUCUUGAGUACAGUAGAGGUGGGUGGAAUUCGUGGUGUAGCGGUGAAAUGCUUAGAUAUCACGAAGAACUCCGAUGGCGAAGGCAGCUUACUGGACUGCAACUGACACUGAGGCUCGAAAGUGUGGGUAUCAAACAGGAUUAGAUACCCGAGUAGUC
rnacentral:rRNA from 1 species